AUUGAACGCUGGCGGCAGGCCUAACACAUGCAAGUCGAGCGGAUGAAGGGAGCUUGCUCCUGGAUUCAGCGGCGGACGGGUGAGUAAUGCCUAGGAAUCUGCCUGGUAGUGGGGGAUAACGUCCGGAAACGGGCGCUAAUACCGCAUACGUCCUGAGGGAGAAAGUGGGGGAUCUUCGGACCUCACGCUAUCAGAUGAGCCUAGGUCGGAUUAGCUAGUUGGUGGGGUAAAGGCCUACCAAGGCGACGAUCCGUAACUGGUCUGAGAGGAUGAUCAGUCACCCUGGAACUGAGACACGGUCCAGACUCCUACGGGAGGCAGCAGUGGGGAAUAUUGGUCAAUGGGCGAAAGCCUGAUCCAGCCAUGCCGCGUGUGUGAAGAAGGUCUUCGGAUUGUAAAGCACUUUAAGUUGGGAGGAAGGGCAGUAAGUUAAUACCUUGCUGUUUUGACGUUACCAACAGAAUAAGCACCGGCUAACUUCGUG
rnacentral:rRNA from 1 species